rnacentral:rRNA from 1 species
UAUUGCACAAUGGGCGCAAGCCUGAUGUAGCCCUGCCGCGUGUAUGAAGAAGGCCUUCGGGUUGUAAAGUACUUUCAGCGGGGAGGAAGGGAGUAAAGGUAAUACCUUUGCUCAUUGACGUUACCCGCAGAAGAAGCAACGGCUAACCCCGUGACCGCAGCCGCGGUAAUACGGAGGGUGCAAGCGUUAAUCGGUAUUACUGGGCGUAAAGCGCACGCAGGCGGUUUGUUAAGUCAGAUGUGAAAUCCCCGGGCUCAACCUGGGAACUGCAUCUGAUACUGGCAAGCUUGAGUCUCGUAGAGGGGGGUAGAAUUCCAGGUGUAGCGGUGAAAUGCGUAGAGAUCUGGAGGAAUACCGGUGGCGAAGGCGGCCCCCUGGACGAAGACUGACGCUCAGGUGCGAAAGCGUGGGGAGCAAAC